rnacentral:rRNA from 1 species
GAUGAACGCUGGCGGCGUGCCUAAUACAUGCAAGUCGAGCGAACGGACGAGAAGCUUGCUUCUCUGAUGUUAGCGGCGGACGGGUGAGUAACACGUGGAUAACCUACCUAUAAGACUGGGAUAACUUCGGGAAACCGGAGCUAAUACCGGAUAAUAUUUUGAACCGCAUGGUUCAGAAGUGAAAGACGGUCUUGCUGUCACUUAUAGAUGGAUCCGCGCUGCAUUAGCUAGUUGGUAAGGUAACGGCUUACCAAGGCAACGAUGCAUAGCCGACCUGAGAGGGUGAUCGGCCACACUGGAACUGAGACACGGUCCAGACUCCUACGGGAGGCAGCAGUAGGGAAUCGUCCGCAAUGGGCGAAAGCCUGACGGAGCAACGCCGCGUGAGUGAUGAAGGUCUUCGGAUCGUAAAACUCUGUUAUUAGGGAAGAACAUAUGUGUAAGUAACUGUGCACAUCUUGACGGUACCUAAUCAGAAAGCCACGGCUAACUACGUG